UACGUAGGGAGCAAGCGUUGUCCGGAAUCAUUGGGCGUAAAGCGCGCGUAGGCGGCCUCAUAAGUCCGUUGUGAAAGUCAAAGGCUCAACCUUUGAAAGCCGAUGGAUACUGUGAGGCUAGAGUUCGGAAGAGGCGAGUGGAAUUCCUGGUGUAGCGGUGGAAUGCGCAGAUAUCAGGAGGAACACCAAUAGCGAAGGCGGGUCUCUGGGCCGAUACUGACGCUGAGGAGCGAAAGCGUGGGGAGCGAACAGG
rnacentral:rRNA from 1 species